rnacentral:snoRNA from 1 species
GGCCUCCUGGUGGCUUUCUUUGGGCUGGGUUCUCUUUGUACUGUCUGUAUAGAAGGAGGAGGCAGAAAAAUCCUUCCCUCCCCUCUCUACCUGCACUUGAUAUUAUUGGUGUCAGGAACACAGGUUUAAAAAGGAGAGAGGGAAUAAAAUA